GACGAACGCUGGCGGCGUGCCUAAUACAUGCAAGUCGAGCGGGCUUAUUCGGGUAGCUUGCUAUUUGGAUAAGUCAGCGGCGGACGGGUGAGUAACACGUGGGUAAUCUGCCUCGUAGUCUGGGAUAACAAGCCGAAAGGUUUGCUAAUACCGGAUGAGUUCAUGUUAUUGCAUAGUGACAUGAAGAAAGGGGAGGCCCGCUAUGAGAUGAGCCCGCGUCCCAUCAGCUAGUUGGUAAGGUAAAGGCUUACCAAGGCGACGACGGGUAGCCGGUCUGAGAGGAUGUACGGCCACACUGGGACUGAGAUACGGCCCAGACUCCUACGGGAGGCAGCAGUUGGGAAUCUUAGGCAAUGGACGAAAGUCUGACCUAGCGACGCCGCGUGAGGGAAGAAGGCCUUCGGGUUGUAAAGCUCUGUCUGGAGGGACGAAGGAAGUGACGGUACCUCCGGAGGAAGCCACGGCUAACUACGUG
rnacentral:rRNA from 1 species